rnacentral:rRNA from 1 species
GAUGAACGCUGGCGGCGUGCCUAACACAUGCAAGUCGAACGAAGCACCUUACCUGAUUCUUCGGAUGAAAGUUUGGUGACUGAGUGGCGGACGGGUGAGUAACGCGUGGGUAACCUGCCCUGUACAGGGGGAUAACAGCUGGAAACGGCUGCUAAUACCGCAUAAGCGCACGAGGAGACAUCUCCUUGUGUGAAAAACUCCGGUGGUACAGGAUGGGCCCGCGUCUGAUUAGCUGGUUGGCAGGGUAACGGCCUACCAAGGCAACGAUCAGUAGCCGGUCUGAGAGGAUGAACGGCCACAUUGGAACUGAGACACGGUCCAAACUCCUACGGGAGGCAGCAGUGGGGAAUAUUGCACAAUGGGGGAAACCCUGACGCAGCAACGCCGCGUGAGUGAAGAAGUAUUUCGGUAUGUAAAGCUCUAUCAGCAGGGAAGAUAAUGACGGUACCUGACUAAGAAGCUCCGGCUAAAUACGUG